rnacentral:ncRNA from 1 species
UUGAGCCGUGUGCGUCGUGAGGCGCACGCACGGUUCUGAGGGGGCGGGGGCACAGCAAUGUGCUCCCGCUACCCGAC